rnacentral:rRNA from 1 species
AGCGAACGCUGGCGGCAGGCCUAACACAUGCAAGUCGAACGGACCCUUCGGGGUUAGUGGCGGACGGGUGAGUAACACGUGGGAACGUGCCUUUAGGUUCGGAAUAGCUCCUGGAAACGGGUGGUAAUGCCGAAUGUGCCCUUUGGGGGAAAGAUUAUCGCCUUUAGAGCGGCCCGCGUCUGAUUAGCUAGUUGGUGAGGUAAUGGCUCACCAAGGCGACGAUCAGUAGCUGGUCUGAGAGGAUGACCAGCCACAUUGGGACUGAGACACGGCCCAAACUCCUACGGGAGGCAGCAGUGGGGAAUCUUGCGCAAUGGGCGAAAGCCUGACGCAGCCAUGCCGCGUGGAUGAUGAAGGUCUUAGGAUUGUAAAAUCCUUUCACCGGUGAAGAUAAUGACUGUAGCCGGAGAAGAAGCCCCGGCUAACUUCGUGCCAGCCGCCGCCGUAAGAC